rnacentral:pre_miRNA from 1 species
UUAGGUGAAAUCAAUGUUAACUUACACUUUGUCAAUGGAACCCACAUAAAGUGAUGGGAUAUAUAUUGAUUUCACCCAA